UGGAAAAGGAACUAGGAUUCGGAGUAUGUUUGGCUUUGGAUCCGCCCCAGCCUCCACACGUUCAAGUCAUUAUUUCUGAGGAUCUCUGGAGCUGCCAUGUUGAGAACAGUGUGAAGGGGCCAACAGCAUAAGCUGGGAGAGACAGGAGGCUACUGCAAUAAUCCAGGCUAGAGGUGAUGGUGGCUUGGACCAGAAGGGGCUCGGAUUCUGGAUGUAUUCUGAAGGCAGAGUCAGCUGCACUUACUGAUUGGAUAAGCGUGAGAGGUCUUGAUUGUAUAAAAAGUACAAGUGACUUCAGAUUUGAUGAAUCCUGAGUGGCAUGGAGGGACAAGGAAAUAUUGUAUCUGAAGAAGCCGGAUGGUUGGUUGUGUUCAAAUUGUAAAGCAAUUGCCAGAACUGGAGGAGUCUUCGGGGAUCUUACAGUUGAAGCCCUUUGUUUCUGUGAGUGAGAGAGGAAAGGCCAUAUGAGGACACAGCAAGGAGGUGGUGGUUGCCUGCAAGCCAGGAAGAGAGCUCUCACCAGAAACUGACCAUGCUGGCACCCUGACCUUGGACUUAACCAGCCAACAAAACUUUUUUUUCAGAUAAGCCGCCAGAAGAUCCUCCUCACUCUGCUUGGAGUUACUUGCAGUGCUUUGGAAGCAGGACAUGGAUCCCAGUGAAAUACACCGUGCUGAAAACACUGUUCAAGUCUGGCCCUCGACACUGCCCUCCACAUUCCAACAGCCACGUUGGCUCACCAGGAAGAGAAGCUGGAGGUGUUUUGACUGACUCAGUGCUGAAAUCAGGCGAGCGGAGACAGUGAUUCGAGAGAGAGCCUCUUUCUUUGGUGCUCUUGGGAGCACAGCAGCUGUGCUCACUAAGAAAGGUAGAAAUCAAAGAAUCUUAGAAUCCUCGGGGUGGAAGGGACAUUAAGGACCCUCAGUUCAGACCUCCAUUCCGUGAAGGAAGCUGGCCAGAAAGUUGCCAGCUCUUUGGAUGAGAACUCCCUGCUUAUAAAGGCAGCCCAGUCCACGGCUUAGUUGGGUCCUGAUUGGAAUCUCUCAAGGCUGCACUUAACAUUCCUUUCUGGAGCUUGGGGUUUAUUUUAGUCAACUCAGGCUGCUAUAACAACAUACCGUAGACUGGGUGGCUUAUAAACAACAGGAAUGGAUUUCUCACAGUUCUGGAGGCUGGAAAGUCCAAUAUCAAGGUGCCAGCAGAUUCGGUGUCUCAUGAGAUCCCUCUUCCUGGUUCAUAGAUGCUGUAUUACCGCCAUGUCCUCACAUGGUGAAAGGGGUGAGGGAGCUCUCUGGGGUCUCUUUUAUAAGGGCACUAAUCCCAUUCAUGAGGGCUCCACCCUCAUGAACUAAUUACCUCCUAAAGGCUCCACCCCCAAAUACCAUACCAUUGGGGAUUAAGAUUAUAACAUGUGAAUUUGGGGGUGGGGCAUUGCAGGAUCCUUUCCCAAGAUCAUGUGGUUAUUGGCUGAAUCCAGUUCCUUGAAGUUGUAGGGCUGAAGUCCCUGCUUUCCUGCUGUCUGUCAGCCUGGGGCUGAUCUCAGGUCCUAGAAGCCACUACAAUUUCUUGCCAUGUGACCCUCUCACAACAUGGCAGCUCAUUUCUUGAAACCCAGCAGGGGAACUUCUUGAUCCAAGAUGCUAAGAUGGAGUCUUGUAUAAUGUAAUGUGAUCAUGGAGUGACUAUCCCAUCACCCUUGCCAUAUUCUCUUGGCUAUAUGCAGGUCACAGAUUCCACUUGUACUCAAGAAGAGGGGGUUAUACUAAGGCACGACUAAUUGAGGGUCACCUUAAUGUGUGUCUGCCUCACAGAUACGUGAUUAAGGUUUACAUUUUUUUUUAAAUAAGAAAGACUUUGGUAUAUCAUAUUCCAAAACAAAAUCUGUUGGGUAGUGCUGAGUUUCAAACAUCAGAGUUAACGAAUUUUAAUUUCAGCAGGGCCAAGGAGCUAGUAAGGUAGAAGUCAUAGUUAUAAAUCAUAGAUAUAGGAUAUAGAUGGAGAAGUCAGAGGUAUAAGACAUAAGAGUUCAGAACAAGUAAGAGCUGAGAUUGAUGGGCAAGUAAAAGAGGAUGGUGAUGUGGAUUUUCUCAAAUAGCUGUUCAGAUUCCUGUCUGUAUCAGUUAUCCGUUGACAUAUAACAAACUUCCCCAAACUUUGUGACCUAAAGUAGCCACCAAUUACUAUUGCUCCCGACUCUACGCUUCAGCUGGGUAGUUCUGGUUUCAGCAGUCUUCCUCAUCUGCCGGCAAUCAGCUGAAGGUCACUAGGUGGAGGUUGGCUGGUGUUUCUUGGUUUUCUUCCACAGGGUCUCCCAUCCUCCAGCAGGCUAGCCUGGGCUUGUUCACAUAGCAGUCACGGGUUUCCCAAGGGAGAGCACAGGUGUGCAAGGGCUCCUGAGGUCUUGACUCGGAACUGGUAACCCAUUGCUCUCACCACAUUCCAUUGACCUGAGCAAGUCAUGAGGCUGGUCCAGAUAAAAAGCACAGUGAAACAGAUUCCCUUCUUUUGAUGGGAAGAGCCUCAAAGUGAUGCCGGAAAGUAGCCAGAUUCAGGGAAGAGUGAAGAACUUGCGUGGCUAUUUUUGCAGUUGACCACGAUGACUCAUGCAUAUGUGUGUGGUUGAAGUUGGCUGUCUAUGUAGGGAACAUGGGGCAGGAAGAAAAGCUAGAUAAUUGAAAAAAGUUAAGGUUGUACAACACCUCAUUAAAUAAAAGUUAACUUGCUGCAAGUGUUAUCAAUGCUUCUCCUCCAGUCUUCUCUAAAUUCCUGGAACCAAUCUGGGAAGGACAGAGAGACAUACAGUCAGGUUUCACCUACCCACGCUUGCCUGAUGGACUUUACAGGAUGCCUGUGAUGAGGGGAUUAGCCUCCAGGACACAGGUGCUCAUCGAAGUCUGGGGACUAGUGCAGGCUGGUGGGGAGAUGAGACACUCUUAAGUAGUCAGCAAGUUGAGAUAGCAGGGCAGGAGAGGACCCAGAGAUUCAAACUCAGGGUUGGAAACUAGAUAAUUAGGUAAGAUGACAUUUGAAUAGGUCGAAGUCUGGAUUUUUGUAAGCACCAAGCAACCGCCAUAUUGUUUUUCCUAUAUGUGACCUGUAGCAUUUUGCUGUGCUGGGGACACCUGCUGGGGAUCCAGUGUGAGCCUAAAUAAUAACUUGGCAUCUCAGGACUUUUAAAAGGCAUAUUAAGUUCUUAAUAGAGCGCCUGACCCAUAGUCAGCUCUCAACAAAUGAUUUGCCCUUAUGCUAUUAUUACUAUGUUUGUUUAGCUACAACUUUGCAUAUUGGAUGUUUUUGGCUUUCAUCCCUCUCUGUAUCAAGAUGCUCUGUCCCCGUGAGCACUGCUGUCAGUCAGGUGAGUGGGAACCCAGCUUGAGGAAACAGCUGGGAGGGGGUGGAAUGGAGGUGGCGGAAUACGAACACAUUCUGUAUCCUUCCUAAAAAUGGCUCUCAU